rnacentral:ncRNA from 1 species
GUGGUGCGGCGCAUAAUUGAUAAAGGCAAAGCCGCGCGCCUGGUCAAUGCAGUGGAACAGCGGGUUCCAGUCGAACAUCGCCAGCAUGAAACCGGGCAAUGUGUUGGCCACAAACAUCUUGCCCGAGGCGAUCAUGUUUGCACGCUG